AGAACGAACGCUGGCGGCAGGCCUAAUACAUGCAAGUCGAACGCACCGCAAGGUGAGUGGCAGACGGGUGAGUAACGCGUGGGAAUCUUCCUUGCAGUACGGAAUAACUCCGGGAAACCGGUGCUAAUACCGUAUACGUCCUCGGAGAAGAUUAUCGCUGCAAGAUGAGCCCGCGUCGGAUUAGCUAGUUGGUGAGGUAAUGGCUCACCAAGGCUUCGAUCCGUAGCUGGUCUGAGAGGAUGAUCAGCCACACUGGGACUGAGACACGGCCCAGACUCCUACGGGAGGCAGCAGUGGGGAAUCUUGCACAAUGGGCGAAAGCCUGAUGCAGCAACGCCGCGUGGGGGAUGAAGGCUCUCGGGUUGUAAACCCCUUUCAGCAGGGACGAUUAUGACGGUACCUGCAGAGAAGCCCCGGCAACUACGUGUCAGCAGCCGC
rnacentral:rRNA from 1 species